rnacentral:rRNA from 1 species
GACGAACGCUGGCGGCGUGCUUAACACAUGCAAGUCGAACGGAAAGGCCCUGCUUUUGUGGGUUGCUCGAGUGGCGAACGGGUGAGUAACACGUGAGUAACCUGCCCUUGACUUUGGGAUAACUUCAGGAAACUGGGGCUAAUACCGGAUAGGAGCUCCUGCUGCAUGGUGGGGGUUGGAAAGUUUCGGCGGUUGGGGAUGGACUCGCGGCUUAUCAGCUUGUUUGUGGGGUAGUGGCUUACCAAGGCUUUGACGGGUAGCCGGCCUGGGAGGGUGACCGGCCACAUUGGGACUGAGAUACGGCCCAGAAUCCUACGGGAGGCAGCAGUGGGGAAUAUUGCACAAUGGGCGGAAGCCUGAUGCAGCAACGCCGCGUGCGGGAUGACGGCCUUCGGGUUGUAAACCGCUUUCGCCUGUGACGAAGCGUGAGUGACGGUAAUGGGUAAAGAAGCACCGGCUAACUACGUG